rnacentral:rRNA from 1 species
UGGGAGCCUGCCCUUAGGUUCGGAAUAACGCCUCGAAAGGGGUGCUAAUACCGGAUAAUGUCUUCGGACCAAAGAUUUAUUGCCCUUGGAUGGGCCCGCGUUGGAUUAGCUUGUUGGUGGGGUAAAGGCCUACCAAGGCGACGAUCCAUAGCUGGUCUUAGAGGAUGAUCAGCCACACUGGGACUGAGACACGGCCCAGACUCCUACGGGAGGCAG